UACGUAGGGGGCCAGCGUUGCUCGGAAUUACUGGGCGUAAAGGGUUCGUAGGUGGUGCGGCAAGUUGGGAGUGAAAUCUCUGGGCUUAACCCAGAGGCUGCUUUCAAAACUGCCGCGCUCGAGUGCGAGAGAGGUCAGUGGAAUUGCAGGUGUAGCGGUGAAAUGCGUAGAUAUAGGAAGGAAUACCAGUGGCGAAGGCGGCCUCCUGGAUCGAUACUGACGCUGAGGCGCGAAAGCGUGGGGAGCAGACAGG
rnacentral:rRNA from 1 species